GCAACCAAUAGAAUCCAACAGUUGUGUAAAAUUACACAGAUUUUGGAUACAAUAUUAUAUGCAUUCAUAAUAUAAUUUUCCUCGCAACACUGCGCACUUGAUGUCUGAGACGUCGGCGCUGUUUCGUCGCCAUGUUGAUUCGCUCGUUGAUUUUCACGGUUUUUUUUCUCUCGCGGAUUUAUUAGUUUUCUUUGUUUUUAAUUCAUUUAAUUAAGCCUAAUUCACAAUUAAUGUUACGGGACGACGGCAAAGGAGACAAAAAGCGGAUUUCUGAAUACGGGACAGCAGGCGGACAAUCCUCAAUAUAUAAUUCAAAGUGCAAGUUUAACUCCUUUGGUUUCUGGUGAUUUGGAGUUCCGCGAUGUGCAAUGGCCAAGAAAGGUUCAGGUGAACCGGUUGCUUUUUUGAUACCGCUUUUCGAAAAAGUAAAACGAUAGAUCAAGUUCUAAGCUGAAGUUCUCCAGGAUUUUAAAAAGAUUGAAGCCAUUCGAGGGUUUCGCAUUUUGCGGCCAUUCACAUCCUGCCGGAUGUGAUCGUUGUCAUGGCCUGCAGGCAAAAUCAAAAGUGCCAGCGUCUUUUUGAGAUGGGUUUCGGCGAGCAACUGACGGAGACCUUGCAAAGGAUUCCCGCGGCAAAACAUAUGAAUCUGUUCCGUACAACGCUGUCGAAGUUGCUGGCAGCUGCUGGUCGACUUUGCGAAGGCUGGCUUGAGCGACCAAUGCUGAUGCGAUCGGAUGUAGAGUCUGAAACUCCGGAAGCCCUGGAUUUGAACUUCGCUUGUAGGUUGGUCUAACGAUUUGCUUCCUGAAUUGAGUCCGAAGGUCAAACACGGUCCCAUCACGUUGAAUUGAUUUCUCGGAUACAGAUUUUUAGUAUGUUUGCUGAUGGAAAAUCAAUAUGGCUAAUCACGGUGUACCUCCGCCUUGUCUUUUUUUUUUCGCUCGGUCCGACUACACGUCGCCAACUAUACGCAGUCUAUACGAAGGGGGCGUACAUCAUCUUUCUGAUCGUACCUCUUUGCUCACAUAGGACCUUCUCAUGCUUGUCAGAUCGCUAUCAGGAACCAUUAUCCACGGGAUACAAUUUGUAUUGUGAAAGAAAAAGUCCAUAAUAAUCUAGCUUGAUUUUACAUUUACGUGCACGGCAUGUUUGAAACGACUAUCGAGAAAUCUGACUUGCUCCACCGCGCGAUGCAACGAGUUCGAUUGCUGGUUGAAAGGAAUCUCUUUGCUACCACUUGAUGUAUUGGAACUCCUAAAGAAUGACCUGACCGGACCGGAAGUGUAACGACCUUGGACGGUAAAUCUACAGAGAGAAUUGGUGCGUCUGUGCAUGAAGGUCAUUAAUUCAACUGCUCCGCUAGGAAUUCACAAUCAGCAUGUUGCCUUUAGCCGUGUGUACUGCAGAUGGCAUUCCGGCAUUGCCGUAGCUGAAUGGAACCUUCUCUUUACGAGAGAAAAUGAACGUUCGAUGGUAUCGCAGAUCUGGCUGCGCG